GCCUGGAUGGCUCAGUUGGUUGAGCAUCUGACUCUUGAUUUCUCUCAGGUAAUAAUCCUAGGGUUGCGGGAUUGAGCCCUGCCUCAGGCU
rnacentral:tRNA from 1 species